AUUCCUUCGCUACCCCCACAAUUCUUGCUUGUUGGAUGUCGGAGGAGUUUGAGGAGAGAUGGGAGGAAGAAGAUGAGGAGGAGCAAGCUUGAGCGAAGAGGAAGGAGGGAGGGAGAGAAUGUCCUGUGGUUGGCCAGUGCUGCUGCUGAGAGGAGUAUACGUUCUUGCUCAUGACUCAUGAGGUCCACAGCAGUCAACCGGCCGGGAUUCCACGGAGGAAGGACGCGGAAGAGGAAGCCACCAUGGGAGGAAGCCCUGGGAAUGGCGGUUUGUAGGGCCUCUCACGUGCGUGGGGCGGCGCGGCACGUGCGGCCACCCCGCUUAGAGCCCGCUUAGUUUCCAAAAAAUUUUGGGUGCUACAGUAACUGACAACGUUUGACCACUAAUUAGAAGUAUUAAAUGUGAAUAACUGACGAAACUCAUUCCACAACCCCCGGUGAAAUUGCGAGACGAAUCUUUUAAACCUAAUUGGACCAUGAUUAGACAAUAUCGUGCUACAGUAUCAACCUCUAAUGAUGAAUUAAUUAGUCUUAAUAGAUUCGUCUCGUAAUUUCCCGCCCAUCCAUGUAAUUAAUUUUAUAAUUAGUUUAUAUUUAAUACUUCUAAUUAGUGGUCAAACAUUGUCCAAAAAUUUUCAUCCAAAAAAUUUUGGAACUAAACUACCCCUUAAUUCGCUGGGCGUCACUGUUUAGUGCUGCCUUUCCUGUUCUCACUUUUUCUUCGUGUGCUACAUGGUACCUCCUUCUUGUAUUUUCGGUGCACUGUUGCUCAAUAUAAUUCCUUUCUUCACCUAA